UACAGAGGGUGCGAGCGUUAAUCGGAAUUACUGGGCGUAAAGCGUGCGUAGGCGGUCACGUAAGUCGGGUGUGAAAGCCCCGGGCUCAACCUGGGAAUUGCAUUCGAGACUGCGUGGCUAGGGUGCGGAAGAGGGAAGCGGAAUUUCCGGUGUAGCGGUGAAAUGCGUAGAUAUCGGAAGGAACACCAGUGGCGAAAGCGGCUUCCUGGUCCAGCACCGACGUUCAGGCACGAAAGCGUGGGGAGCAAACAGG
rnacentral:rRNA from 1 species